UAUAAUGAUCAUAACAAUCUGAUUUCACAGGAUUUCCAUCCCACAGCCCAAGCACAAAUAAUAUUCUAUUAAUCACGACAACUUUAAAAUAGGAUGGAAAGGAGUUCCUACUGUGGUACAAUGGGAUGUGUGGCGUCUCUGCAGCACCAGGAUACAAGUUUGAUUCCCAGCCCCUGGCCUUGGGAGCUCCAUAUGCCUCGGAAACAGAAUGGAAGAAAAAAAAAAAAGCAUGGAAAGUCAACAAUCAUCCAAAGUCUGAUCACUAACAAAGCAGGUUGUGCAUAGUUUUCCUGUUGACAGCAGACUGGUAGGAAACCUGCUUUGCAAGUGGAUGCAUCAAAGGAAACUCUAGACCCAGAGGCUCCGGGAUGGAUACCUCCUCACACAUCACCCAGCCCAACCUGCUCAGGAAGACACCAAAGGCAGGGGACGUUCCUAAGGUCACACAAUGAGUUGACGGCACAGCUAGGAGCCAAAACCAGGGCUCCCAACCCCAGGUCGGGGGCUCUGUGCCCUAUGCUUCAUGACACUACUCCCUCCAGGGAAUUUCUACAUCUCAGAGGAAGAAAGGGGUAAGGACAUUCUGGGCCAUGUGUUCAUCUUGGCAUCUGGACUUCACUCUGGAAUUUUAUAAUGGGAGCGCAUCGCUAUCACUUUCUUGGGAUAAUGCACUUUGUCCUGCCCCAUAAAGCUGCAGCCUUACUUACUGCCCCAAAGCAGCCUCAGGCGGUAUUGAGUUAGAUGGUAACAACAGUAGCCAUCACUGAUUGAGCACUGCGCUAGCCAGGCUUCUCCAGGGAAACAGAACCAAUAGGGAGAGAGAAGAGGGAGAGAGAGACUGGUUGAUCUUAAGAAAUUAGGGGCUGGCGAAUCUAAAAUCCUGAAAUCUGCAAGGCACGACAGCAGGCUGGAAAUUUCAGCAGAAGUACACGUUGCUGUCUUGAAUCCAAAGGGAGUCUAGAACAAAAACAAAAAUAGAAACAUAAAACAAAAAAGGAGGUGUUCCCUGGUGCUCAGGGGGUUAAGGAUCUUGCAUGGUCACUGCUGUGGCACAGGUUCCAUUUCUGGCCUGAGAACUUCUGCAGGCCACAGGCACAACCACAAAAGAAAAAGAAAAGAGAGAAAGAGAAAGAAAGAAGGAAUAAAGGAAGGAAGGGAAGGAGAGAAGAAGGGAGA
rnacentral:lncRNA from 1 species